GCGUUGGCCGGGCAUUGGUGAGCCCAGUUGCCUGUAAAGCAUCCGCCUGACGGCUGUGCAGGUUCAAUUCCUGCCCAACGCA
rnacentral:tRNA from 1 species